UACGUAGGGCGCAAGCGUUGUCCGGAAUUAUUGGGCGUAAAGACGCUCGUAGGUGGCUUGUCACGUCGGGUGUGAAAGCUUGGGGCUUAACUCCAGGUCUGCAUUCGAUACGGGCUGGCUAGAGGUAGGUAGGGGAGAACGGAAUUCCUGGUGUAGCGGUGAAAUGCGCAGAUAUCAGGAGGAACACCGGUGGCGAAGGCGGUUCUCUGGGCAUUACCUGACGCUGAGGAGCGAAAGUGUGGGGAGCGAACAGG
rnacentral:rRNA from 1 species